UUGUAACGCCGGUUCUCGAACGAUCAUCGAAGUUAAGCAACAUCGGACCUGGUCAGUACCUAGAUGGGUGACCGCCUUGGAAUGUCAAGUGCUGUAAU